CACACCAAAUAAUCGAAUCAAGCCCGCUGUUUUGUUUGUGAAAGUAGCCAUUUAAACCUUGGCAACACCCCUGAUUUCAAAACCCUAGAAAUUCAAAAUUGGAUUCUAGGGCAAGAUAUGGCCGGAGCUUCCCGAGACCAAGCACUGGCUCUCCUCGCCGCUGCCAACAACCAUGGAGAUUUGGCCGUAAAGCUCUCUUCUCUUAGACAGGCCAAAGAUAUCUUACUAGCCGUCCACCCCUCAUUUGCAGCCGAGCUUUUUCCCUACUUAGUCGAGCUUCAGUCUUCUCCCGAAACCCUAGUUCGAAAAUCUCUCAUAGAGGCAAUAGAAGAGAUUGGUUUGAAAGCAAUGGAGCAUUCUUCUAUAUUAGUAUCAGUCUUAUUAGUAUUUUUGAGAGAUGGCGAUUCUAUUAUUGCAAAGCAAUCUAUUGUUAGUGGGACAAAUUUCUUUUGCAGUGUUCUAGAGGAGUUGGCCCUGCAGUUCCAUCGGCAUGGUAAAGUUGAGAGGUGGCUUGAAGAGCUUUGGGUGUGGAUGGUUAAGUUGAAGGAUGCGGUCCUUGCCAUUGCGUUGGGGCCUGGUCCUUUUGGGGUGAAGAUACUGGCGAUGAAGUUUUUGGAAACAUAUGUGCUACAUUUUACAUCUGAUGCUAAUGAUUUUGAAAAAUCUUCUAUAGAAGGAAGUGGACGGGCUUUUAAUAUUUCUUGGGUGGUUGGUGGUCACCCAGUUCUAGAUCCAGCUUCACUCAUGUCAGAUGCAAAUAGGAUUAUUGGAGUUCUACUAACGUUGUUGCAAUCGGCUAGUAGUCUUUCUGGCUGUUUGACAAUUACUGUUGUCAAUUGUCUUGCGGCCAUAGCAAGGAAGAGGCCUCACCACUACAACACGGUUCUUUCUGCAUUGCUUGAUUUUGAUUCAAGCAUUGAGAUGGUGAAAGGUCAUUCUGCUAGCGUCCAGUAUUCCCUGAGGACUGCCUUUUUAGGAUUCCUAAGGUGUACUUGUCCAACUAUAAUGGAGUCAAGAGAUAGAUUGCUUAGAGCACUACGUUCAAUGAAUGCUGGGGAUGCAGCUGAUCAAGUUAUUCGGCAAGUUGAUAAAAUGAUGAAGAAUAAUGAGCGUGCUUCACGUGAUGCUCGGUUGGGCAGGGAUGAUCCGCCAUCAAGUCAGCUGUCUGUUCCUGGAGAUCUGUUUAGGAAGAGGUCUAUGCAUCAGGAUAAUGAAGAGCCAACUAAUGGUCAUGGGAUGACUUCCAAACGAAUUCGUUAUGGUCACAACAUGCACUCAGCUUCACAUGUUCAAAUGAGUGAUUCUGGGCAGGACUGUGCUUCUGCUAAUGGUGUCUCUCCGAAGGUGCCUCUGUUGGAUAAUGAUUUGACUCCUGUUGAACAAAUGAUUGCCAUGAUUUGUGCUCUAGUUGCAGAAGGAGAAAGAGGUGCUGAAUCACUUGAAAUCCUUAUAUCCCAAAUCCACCCUGAUCUGUUGGCAGAUAUUAUCGUAACAAAUAUGAAGCAGUUCUCUAAGGUCCUGUCAUCACCAAUAGGAUUUGGGAACUUGCCAGUGUCUGGACAAACUGGUUCUUCAAGCAGUCCAGCUCCUGCUGCUCCAACAAUUACAAUGCAGUCUUCAGUUCUCCCAGCACAAGUGCCUUUUUCUACAGCAGCUGCAACAAGCAUGGCACAUUCUGACAUGUCUACUGUCAUUAAUCUCCCUCCAGAUUCUAAGCGCGAUCCACGGAGGAAAAAUUUUCAGGAUCCUCGUCGGCUGGAUCCACGGCGUGUUGGAGUGCCGGUUGGACUACAAUCUGUACAUAUGGUGGAGGAUACUGGAACUAUUCAAGCUGAGUUUGAUGGUUCUAUUUCUUUGAGCAAGCCGCCUUCACUUCCUCUUGUCACAAGUGUAGAAAAUACUUCCACAUCUUUGGUGUCCAAAACUGAAGGUGAUGAUAAAAUUUUAAAAAAUGCAUUGAUUUCUGAAACUGAUCAACCAAUUUCCAGAGAGGAGCUUCUGGAUGGAGCCAAGGAAGUUGACCAUAUUCCAGAGAUUGGUGCUACUUCAGAUGCUGCCCUUUCUCCUGCUCGCACAAUUGAUGAAGACUCGGCUGCACCAGAGUCAUUGGAUAUUGCAGUGGCAGAUGGAGCUGAUACAUCGCCUUUGAUAGAAACUGAUCAACAUUCUCCAGCACGGUCAAAUACUUAUGUGUCUGAAGAGACCAGCAUUGAUUUACCUUUGCCUCCACCAUAUGUUGAGCUGACUGAAGAUCAGAAAAUUAGAUUGAAAAAGUUGGCACUUGAACGGAUUAUCAAUUCGUACGUGUAUUCACGGGAAACAGAUUGUAGCCAUACACGCAUGGCAUUACUUGCUCGAUUGGUUGCUCAGAUUGAUGGUGAUGAGGAUGUGGUUGUGAUGCUGCAAAAACAUGUUCUUUUGGAUUACCAGGGCCAAAAGGGGCAUGAACUUGUACUGCACAUCCUGUACCACCUGCAUGCGCUCAUGAUCUCAGAUUCAGUUGAACACUCUUCAUUUGCUGCUGUUGUAUAUGAAAAAUUUCUUCUUGCAGUGGUAAAAUCUCUGCUGGAAAAAUUACCUGCUUCAGACAAGUCUUUUAGUAAACUGCUCGGUGAAGUUCCUCUUUUGCCCGAUUCUGCCCUGAAAUUGUUAGAUGAUCUCUGCUCUUCUGAUGUUACUGAUCAGCAUGGAAAAGUUCUUCGCGACAGGGAGCGUGUCACUCAGGGCCUUGGUGCAGUAUGGAGUUUGAUUUUGGGCCGCCCACUUAAUAGGCAAGCUUGCUUGAAUAUUGCUUUGAAGUGUGCUGUUCAUUCACAAGAUGACAUUCGAACAAAAGCCAUCCGACUGGUGGCAAACAAACUUUAUCUUCUUAGCUAUAUAUCAGAAAAUAUUCAGCAAUAUGCAACAGAUAUGUUGUUGUCAGCUGUUAAUCAGCAUAUUUCAGAUCCAGAGCUCUCACAAUCUGGUUCCAGUGAUCAAAGAUUAGAAGCGGAGACUGGAAGCCUGGAGACAUCAGUUAGUGGUUCUCAAAUUUCUGAGCCUGGAACAUCUGAAAAUGACCCCAUGAAGGGUUCACAAUCUGUUCAGAACAUCUCGACAGUGGAAUUUCAUCAAGCUCAACGCCUUAUUUCUUUGUUUUUUGCUUUAUGUACAAAGAAACCUAAUCUUCUUCAACUUGUAUUCAAUAUUUAUGGGCGUGCUCCUAAGGCUGUUAAGCAGGCAAUCCAUCGUCAUAUCCCAAUUAUUAUAGGGGCUCUAGGGCCAUUAUAUCCCGAAUUGCUCAGUAUAAUAUCAGAUCCACCAGAAGGAAGUGAAAAUCUGCUGACACAGGUGCUGAAAAUAUUAACUGAAGAGAAGACGCCAACCCCACACCUGAUUGCAAUUGUUAAGCAUUUGUAUGAAACUAAAUUAAAGGACGCCACAAUUCUUAUCCCAAUGCUGUCCUUGCUGUCAAGAAAUGAGGUUUUACCUAUUUUUCCUCGGCUCAUUGACCUUCCAUUGGACAAAUUUCAGGAUGCACUUGCCAAUAUACUACAGGGUUCAGCUCAUACAGGUCCAGCAUUGACACCUGCAGAAGUGUUGGUUGCUAUCCAUGACAUUAGUCCUGAGAAAGAUGGCAUUGCACUCAAAAAGAUAACAGAAGCUUGCUCUGCUUGUUUUGAGCAACGUACGGUUUUCACACCACAGGUUUUGGCAAAGGCCUUGAACCAGAUGGUUGAUCAUACUCCGUUGCCUCUACUCUUCAUGAGAACAGUAAUUCAGGCAAUUGAUGCUUAUCCUACCCUGGUUGAUUUUGUAAUGGAGAUACUCUCCAAGCUUGUGAGUAAACAGGUGUGGAGAAUGCCAAAGUUGUGGGUCGGGUUCUUGAAAUGUGUGUCUCAGACACAGCCACAUUCUUUCCGUGUACUGUUACAGCUACCAGCUCCACAGCUUGAAAGUGCUCUGAACAAACAUGCUAACCUCAGAGGUCCUCUUUCUGCUUAUGCUAGCCAACCAAGUAUAAAAUCAUCAUUGCCUAGAUCAAUUCUCAUAGUUCUUGGUCUGGUAAAUGAACCCCACAUGCAGCAAUCACACCCUCCAUCGUCUCUGCAUUCAUCAGACACAAGUUCUUCUGUUCAUGGAGCAACUCUAACUUGAUAACUGGGCCUUUUGAGUUCAGAAAUUGACUGAUAACACCGUAGUGACUGUCAAAAAGACCAAAGUUCAAGCUGUUGAAAAAGAAAGUUCAAAGACUGCUCACACAGCGCCUAGUCACUCAAGCAGAUUAUUUGUCCACUCACCAGUGGAACCUGGAUGAGUUUUUGUGGAAUGUAUAUAAGCUUGAGGCCUUGUUCAGGUGAAAGGGUGUAUUCUGUUGGGUGGUUAGCGUAAAAAAAGAAACAUAGUUGAAGUCAUUGACCGUUCUCUUGACUCAGUUGGACGUUGAUCCCAAAUGAAAAAUGAUUAUAGAGCCUGUGUUGAUACCAAGAUGUCUUUGCAUUGGGGCUGUGUUGAAUUGUGCCCCCUUCCCUAGUUGUAAAGAGGCUGAAUUGUUCCCAAUUUUCCUUCGGCCACCUAAAUGCAAGAUUUGACAUGUAGCUGUUCAUUGUUAUUUAUGUUUUUUUUUCUUCUUUUUUUCUUUUUUUCUUUUACCUUUUAAUAGAACAAUGGGUUUCCUCCAGUUGGAGGGAGAACGAGAAUGUCGGUGGGAUUGUGGAAUGAAAAUGCAUCCAUGGAAAGGAUUACUACAUGAACAGUGGAUUGAAAAUGAAAUACAUACAUUAACAUGUGA